GUCUUGAAAGCUCUAAGCGGCCUAUCUUGUAAAUAGGUACAAGUUAGUAAAUUUUCUAACUCAAGACU
rnacentral:tRNA from 1 species